rnacentral:tRNA from 1 species
GCCACCUUAGCUCAGUUGGUAGAGCAUCGGAUUCGUAACCCGAAGGUCGCCGGUUCAAUUCCGGCAGGUGGCUCCA